CUGCCCAGACAACCCAUAGCCCUCAGGUCCAGGCAGUGACCACCAACACACAAGAGCUUCCCCCAGCACCAGGGAAGAUGGGACUUGGGCUCCACCUGCUUGUCCUGGCCGCAGCUCUGCAAGGUGCCUGGUCCCAGGGGCAGCUGGUAGAGUCUGGAGGAGACGUGAGGAAACCUGGAGACUCUCUGCGCCUCUCCUGCAAAGCCUCUGGGUUCACCUUCAGUAGCUACUACAUGAACUGGGUCCGCCAGGCUCCUGGGAAGGGGCUGGACUGGGUGGGUGAUAUUAAUCCUGAUGGAUCCACCCAGAGGUACUCCCCGACUGUUAAGGGGCGAUUCACCGUCUCCAGAGACAACUCCCAGAACAUGGCAUACCUGCAGAUGAGCAGCCUCAAACCCGAGGACACAGCCCUGUAUUACUGUGCCACAGACACAGUGACUCAAACCCUAUUCAUGGCAAUACAAAAUCCCAGUUCAGAUCCUCCCUUCUAA